GGAUGAUUAAUUAUUUGCAUGAAGGUUCAGAGAAUGGCCUCUAUUGCCUUACAGUCCAACUGAACACGUGAGAAAUUACUGAUGCGCAUGGAUGACAGCUUUCCCACGACGAAGCAAAAUUGCAGGACCUAUUAGGAUGCAUACCUGAAGGAGUGCAUCUACCGGCUCAGCUGAAAAUCGAUCUCUAUUUGGUUUAU